UACAGAGGUGGCAAGCGUUGUUCGGAAUUACUGGGCGUAAAGGGCGCGUAGGUGGCCUUUUGAGUCAGACGUGAAAUCCCCCGGCUUAACCUGGGAACUGCGUCUGAUACUGGAAGGCUUGAGUUCGGGAGAGGGAUGUGGAAUUCCAGGUGUAGCGGUGAAAUGCGUAGAUAUCUGGAGGAACACCGGUGGCGAAGGCGGCAUCCUGGACCGAAACUGACACUGAGGCGCGAAAGCUAGGGGAGCGAACAGG
rnacentral:rRNA from 1 species